rnacentral:rRNA from 1 species
GAUGAACGCUGGCGGCGUGCCUAAUACAUGCAAGUCGAGCGAACAGACGAGGAGCUUGCUCCUCUGACGUUAGCGGCGGACGGGUGAGUAACACGUGAAUAACCUACCUAUAAGACUGGGAUAACUUCGGGAAACCGGAGCUAAUACCGGAUAAUAUAUUGAACCGCAUGGUUCAAUAGUGAAAGACGGUUUUGCUGUCACUUAUAGAUGGAUCCGCGCCGCAUUAGCUAGUUGGUAAGGUAACGGCUUACCAAGGCGACGAUGCGUAGCCGACCUGAGAGGGUGAUCGGCCACACUGGAACUGAGGCACGGUCCAGACUCCUACGGGAGGCAGCAGUAGGGAAUCUUCCGCAAUGGGCGAAAGCUUGACGGAGCAACGCCGCGUGAGUGAUGAAGGUCUUCGGAUCGUAAAACUCUGUUAUUAGGGAAGAACAAAUGUGUAAGUAACUAUGCACGUCUUGACGGUACCUAAUCAGAAAGCCACGGCUAACUACGUG